AUUGAACGCUGGCGGCAUGCCUUACACAUGCAAGUCGAACGGCAGCACGGGAGCAAUCCUGGUGGCGAGUGGCGAACGGGUGAGUAAUAUAUCGGAACGUGCCCAGUCGUGGGGAUAACGUAGCGAAAGCUACGCUAAUACCGCAUACGAUCUACGGAUGAAAGCGGGGGAUCGCAAGACCUCGCGCGAUUGGAGUGGCCGAUAUCAGAUUAGGUAGUUGGUGAGGUAAAGGCUCACCAAGCCGACGAUCUGUAGCUGGUCUGAGAGGACGACCAGCCACACUGGGACUGAGACACGGCCCAGACUCCUACGGGAGGCAGCAGUGGGGAAUUUUGGACAAUGGGCGCAAGCCUGAUCCAGCAAUGCCGCGUGCAGGAUGAAGGCCUUCGGGUUGUAAACGUGCUUCUGUACGGAACG
rnacentral:rRNA from 1 species